rnacentral:rRNA from 1 species
UCCGUAGGUGAACCUGCGGAAGGAUCAUUAGUGAAUUGAAUAUGUUAGCGGACCUCUUCGGAGUCCCUAGCAUCAAAUCAUAUCCAUAACACCUGUGAACUGUAAGGCUGUCUUGAAAACGAAAGUGAUUAGAGCGCUUGCCCAUUUUAUACAAACAUUAAAGCAACAAACGUAGUCUUAUUAUAAUCUAAUAAAACUUUCAACAACGGAUCUCUUGGCUCUCGCAUCGAUGAAGAACGCAGCGAAAUGCGAUAAGUAAUGUGAAUUGCAGAAUUCAGUGAAUCAUCGAAUCUUUGAACGCACCUUGCGCUCUUUGGUAUUCCGAAGAGCAUGCCUGUUUGAGUGUCAUGAAAAUAUCAACCUUGACUUGGGUUUAGUGCUCUUGUCUUGGCUUGGAUUUGGCUGUUUGCCGCUCGAAAGAGUCGGCUCAGCUUAAAAGUAUUAGCUGGAUCUGUCUUUGAGACUUGGUUUGACUUGGCGUAAUAAGUUAUUUCGCUGAGGACAAUCUUCGGAUUGGCCGAGUUUCUGGGACGUUUGUCCGCUUUCUAAUACAAGUUCUAGCUUGCUAGACAUGACUUUUUUAUUAUCUGGCCUCAAAUCGGGUAGGACUACCCGCUGAACUUAAGCAUAUC